GGGGUUGUGGCUCAGUGGUAGAGUGCUCACCUAGCAUGUGUGAGGCCUUGGGUUAGAUCCUCAGCCCCA
rnacentral:tRNA from 1 species